UCAGUAAGCUUGUCAAGCUGUAGAGUUAAGGUUUUCCAAUAACUGUGAAUUUCCUGGUUCUUGCUUGAAAACUUACCAUGCCUUGGGCAAAAGGCAUCUUAUUUUUCACAAUGGCUGUGGUGACACUGAGUUCUUCUAUGAGGACUGAUCCUGAGGACUUUUCUGAAGUAGGUGCUGCUUAUGGAGCAGUCUCUGAAAACAUGGUCCGUUUUGGCAAACUUUUAAUUGGUGGUCAAGGAGAGGAGUCACCAAUGCCCUUGUCUGAGAUGCCAGUUAGCUGUGGUUCCUCACUGAAGCGGGCAUGCAGGGAUGUCUCUUGUUGCUCCAUACCGGGGCUGUCAUGUCAGACAACAGGGUGGAAGUUAUAUUCUGCCGCUCAUUAUAAUGGGAGCUCCAGUGCAAGUGUCUUGCCCUGUGAGUCCUCUCCUCCCUACCGUGUCCUGCUUCUCCUCUGGCAUGAUUGUCACACUUGGCAUCAGAGCCAAUUGU